GGGUUGUGAGGUUAAGCGACUAAGCGUACACGGUGGAUGCCCUGGCAGUCAGAGGCGAUGAAGGACGUGCUAAUCUGCGAAAAGCGUCGGUAAGGUGAUAUGAACCGUUAUAGCCGGCGAUGUCCGAAUGGGGAAACCCAGUGUGAUUCGUCACACUAUCGUUAACUGAAUACAUAGGUUAACGAGGCGAACCGGGGGAACUGAAACAUCUAAGUACCCCGAGGAAAAGAAAUCAACCGAGAUUCCCCCAGUAGCGGCGAGCGAACGGGGAGCAGCCCAGAGUCUGAAUCAGCUUGUGUGUUAGUGGAACGGUCUGGAAAGUCCGACGGUACAGGGUGAUAGUCCCGUACACCAAAAUGCACAGGCUGUGAACUCGAAGAGUAGGGCGGGACACGUGGUAUCCUGUCUGAAUAUGGGGGGACCAUCCUCCAAGGCUAAAUACUCCUGACUGACCGAUAGUGAACCAGUACCGUGAGGGAAAGGCGAAAAGAACCCCGGCGAGGGGAGUGAAAAAGAACCUGAAACCGUGUACGUACAAGCAGUGGGAGCACCUUCGGGUGUGACUGCGUACCUUUUGUAUAAUGGGUCAGCGACUUAUAUUCUGUAGCAAGGUUAACCGUAUAGGGGAGCCGCAGGGAAACCGAGUCUUAACUGGGCGUUAAGUUGCAGGGUAUAGACCCGAAACCCGGUGAUCUAGCCAUGGGCAGGUUGAAGGUUGGGUAACACUAACUGGAGGACCGAACCGACUAAUGUUGAAAAAUUAGCGGAUGACUUGUGGCUGGGGGUGAAAGGCCAAUCAAACCGGGAGAUAGCUGGUUCUCCCCGAAAGCUAUUUAGGUAGCGCCUCGUGAACUCAUCUUCGGGGGUAGAGCACUGUUUCGGCUAGGGGGUCAUCCCGACUUACCAACCCGAUGCAAACUACGAAUACCGAAGAAUGUUAUCACGGGAGACACACGGCGGGUGCUAACGUCCGUCGUGAAGAGGGAAACAACCCAGACCGCCAGCUAAGGUCCCAAAGUCAUGGUUAAGUGGGAAACGAUGUGGGAAGGCACAGACAGCCAGGAUGUUGGCUUAGAAGCAGCCAUCAUUUAAAGAAAGCGUAAUAGCUCACUGGUCGAGUCGGCCUGCGCGGAAGAUGUAACGGGGCUAAACCAUGCACCGAAGCUGCGGCAGCGACACUAUGUGUUGUUGGGUAGGGGAGCGUUCUGUAAGCCUGCGAAGGUGUGCUGUGAGGCAUGCUGGAGGUAUCAGAAGUGCGAAUGCUGACAUAAGUAACGAUAAAGCGGGUGAAAAGCCCGCUCGCCGGAAGACCAAGGGUUCCUGUCCAACGUUAAUCGGGGCAGGGUGAGUCGACCCCUAAGGCGAGGCCGAAAGGCGUAGUCGAUGGGAAACAGGUUAAUAUUCCUGUACUUGGUGUUACUGCGAAGGGGGGACGGAGAAGGCUAUGUUAGCCGGGCGACGGUUGUCCCGGUUUAAGCAUGUAGGCUGAUUAUCCAGGCAAAUCCGGAUAAUCAAGGCUGAGGUGUGAUGACGAGGCACUACGGUGCUGAAGUAACAAAUGCCCUGCUUCCAGGAAAAGCCUCUAAGCAUCAGGUAACAUCAAAUCGUACCCCAAACCGACACAGGUGGUCAGGUAGAGAAUACCAAGGCGCUUGAGAGAACUCGGGUGAAGGAACUAGGCAAAAUGGUGCCGUAACUUCGGGAGAAGGCACGCUGGUGUGUAGGUGAAGUCCCUGCGGAUGGAGCUGAGACCAGUCGAAGAUACCAGCUGGCUGCAACUGUUUAUUAAAAACACAGCACUGUGCAAACACGAAAGUGGACGUAUACGGUGUGACGCCUGCCCGGUGCCGGAAGGUUAAUUGAUGGGGUUAUCCGUAAGGAGAAGCUCUUGAUCGAAGCCCCGGUAAACGGCGGCCGUAACUAUAACGGUCCUAAGGUAGCGAAAUUCCUUGUCGGGUAAGUUCCGACCUGCACGAAUGGCGUAAUGAUGGCCAGGCUGUCUCCACCCGAGACUCAGUGAAAUUGAACUCGCUGUGAAGAUGCAGUGUACCCGCGGCAAGACGGAAAGACCCCGUGAACCUUUACUAUAGCUUGACACUGAACAUUGAGCCUUGAUGUGUAGGAUAGGUGGGAGGCUUUGAAGCGUGGACGCCAGUCUGCGUGGAGCCAACCUUGAAAUACCACCCUUUAAUGUUUGAUGUUCUAACGUUGGCCCCUGACCGGGGUUGCGGACAGUGUCUGGUGGGUAGUUUGACUGGGGCGGUCUCCUCCCAAAGCGUAACGGAGGAGCACGAAGGUUAGCUAAUCCUGGUCGGACAUCAGGAGGUUAGUGCAAUGGCAUAAGCUAGCUUGACUGCGAGCGUGACGGCGCGAGCAGGUGCGAAAGCAGGUCAUAGUGAUCCGGUGGUUCUGAAUGGAAGGGCCAUCGCUCAACGGAUAAAAGGUACUCCGGGGAUAACAGGCUGAUACCGCCCAAGAGUUCAUAUCGACGGCGGUGUUUGGCACCUCGAUGUCGGCUCAUCACAUCCUGGGGCUGAAGUAGGUCCCAAGGGUAUGGCUGUUCGCCAUUUAAAGUGGUACGCGAGCUGGGUUUAGAACGUCGUGAGACAGUUCGGUCCCUAUCUGCCGUGGGCGCUGGAGAAUUGAGGGGGGCUGCUCCUAGUACGAGAGGACCGGAGUGGACGCAUCACUGGUGUUCGGGUUGUCAUGCCAAUGGCACUGCCCGGUAGCUAAAUGCGGAAGAGAUAAGUGCUGAAAGCAUCUAAGCACGAAACUUGCCCCGAGAUGAGUUCUCCCUGAGACUUUAAGUCUCCUGAAGGAACGUUGAAGACGACGACGUUGAUAGGCCGGGUGUGUAAGCGCAGCGAUGCGUUGAGCUAACCGGUACUAAUGAACCGUGAGGCUUAACCUUACAACGCCGAAG
rnacentral:rRNA from 1 species